rnacentral:rRNA from 1 species
CGAAUGCUGACAUAAGUAACGAUAAAGCGGGUGAAAAGCCCGCUCGCCGGAAGACCAAGGGUUCCUGUCCAACGUUAAUCGGGGCAGGGUGAGUCGACCCCUAAGGCGAGGCCGAAAGGCGUAGUCGAUGGGAAACAGGUUAAUAUUCCUGUACUUGGUGUUACUGCGAAGGGGGGACGGAGAAGGCUAUGUUGGCCGGGCGACGGUUGUCCCGGUUUAAGCGUGUAGGCUGGUUUUCCAGGCAAAUCCGGAAAAUCAAGGCUGAGGCGUGAUGACGAGGCACUACGGUGCUGAAGCAACAAAUGCCCUGCUUCCAGGAAAAGCCUCUAAGCAUCAGGUAACAUCAAAUCGUACCCCAAACCGACACAGGUGGUCAGGUAGAGAAUACCAAGGCGCUUGAGAGAACUCGGGUGAAGGAACUAGGCAAAAUGGUGCCGUAACUUCGGGAGAAGGCACGCUGAUAUGUAGGUGAAGUCCCUCGCGGAUGGAGCUGAAAUCAGUCGAAGAUACCAGCUGGCUGCAACUG